GACAGAGGUGCCAAGCGUUAGGCGGAAUCACUGGGCUUAAAGCGUGUGUAGGCGGAUCGUUAAGUACCUUGUGAAAUCCCUCGGCCCAACCGAGGAACAGCCGGGGCUACGGCCGCACUCGACGGCAUCAGGGGACAGUGGAACUCCCGGUGGAGCGGUGAAAUGCGUAGAUAUCGGGAGGAACGCCGGUGGCGAAAGCGACUGUCUGGGGUGCCUGUGACGCUGAGGCGCGAAAGCCAGGGGAUCAAACGGG
rnacentral:rRNA from 1 species